rnacentral:rRNA from 1 species
GGAAUAUUGGUCAAUGGACGCAAGUCUGAACCAGCCAUGCCGCGUGAAGGAUGAAGGUCCUCUGGAUUGUAAACUUCUUUUAUAGGGGAAGAAACCGGAAAAUUCUUUUUCCGUUGACGGUACCCUAGGAAUAAGCACCGGCUAACUCCGUGCCAGCAGCCGCGGUAAUACGGAGGGUGCAAGCGUUAUCCGGAUUCACUGGGUUUAAAGGGUGCGUAGGUGGGGCUGUAAGUCAGUGGUGAAAUCUCCAAGCAUAACUUGGAAACUGCCGUUGAUACUAUAGCUCUUGAAUGUUGUGGAGGUGAGCGGAAUAUGUCAUGUAGCGGUGAAAUGCUUAGAUAUGACAUAGGACACCAAUUGCGAAGGCAGCUCACUACACAAAUAUUGACACUGAGGCACGAAAGCGUGGGGAUCAAACAGGAUUAGAUACCCCAG